AAUCAAUGUGCUUAAAACCAACCACAACAAAAAUACCAGCUGCCUUUUGAAAGCAAGGGCAUUGGGAAAUGAAUGGAAUUGCAUGCUUCUGUUCUGUGUUCAAGAGCUUCGAUGGCUACUGUGUUACAUCAGGAACGACCAGUGCCUGGACCCCACCCUCCCCCACUCCCUUUUAUUUCAGUGGCUACGUGGGGGCUUCUUUGAUGGAGGCUUUGAAGUCGGUGGCUUUGAGAUUACUCUUCCUCUGUGACCUUGACCACCAGCCAUGAGCUCUGCCCCCUCUGAUUUCACGCUCACACAUUAACGAGAGCUGACACUGGAGAUUAGACGCAGACAGCUGGAAUGCCAGGCCUUUGUUACGGCAUGGACUGCAGCCAACGUCGUUCAACCACAGCCAAGAGGGACCUGGG